rnacentral:rRNA from 1 species
AGUUUGAUCAUGGCUCAGAUUGAACGCUGGCGGCAUGCCUUACACAUGCAAGUCGAACGGCAGCACGGGGGCAACCUGGUGGCGAGUGGCGAACGGGUGAGUAACAUAUCGGAACAUACCCUAGAGUGGGGGAUAACGUAGCGAAGUUAAACGCUAAUACCGCAUACGAUCUAAGGAUGAAAUGGGGGAUCUUCGGACCUCAUGCUCAUGGAGUGGCCGAUAUCUGAUUAGCUAGUUGGUGAGGUAAAGGCUCACCAAGGCGACGAUCAGUAGCUGGUUUGAGAGAACGACCAGCCACACUGGAACUGAGACACGGUCCAGACUCCUACGGGAGGCAGCAGUGGGGGAAUUUUUGGACAAUGGGGGCAACCCUGAUCCAGCAAUGCCGCGUGAGUGAAGAAGGCCUUCGGGUUGUAAAGCUCUUUUGUCAGGGAAGAAACGGUGAGUUCUAAUACAGCUUGCUAAUGACGGUACCUGAAGAAUAAGCACCGGCUAACUACGUG